rnacentral:hammerhead_ribozyme from 2 species
GAGCGAAACAGGGCGCUUGCCCUGUCGCCGGAACGUGGCGGUUUCGGCCUGAUGAGCAGCCAAUG